rnacentral:rRNA from 1 species
CACGUAGGGCGCAAGCGUUGUCCGGAAUUAUUGGGCGUAAAGAGCUCGUAGGUGGUUUGUUACGUCCGCUGUGAAAUCCUAGGGCUUAACCCUGGGCUUGCAGUGGAUACGGGCAGACUAGAGGUAGGUAGGGGAGAAUGGAAUUCCUGGUGUAGCGGUGGAAAUGCGCAGAUAUCAGGAGGAACACCAGUGGCGAAGGCGGAUCUCUGGGCCGUACCUGACGCUGAGGAGCGAAAGCUGGGGAGCGAACAGG